GUGGGCGUAGCUCAGUAGGUUAGAGCGCCAGGUUGUGGCCCUGGAGGUCGCGGGUUCGAAUCCCGUCGCUCACC
rnacentral:tRNA from 1 species